GAGUAAUGCCUAGGAAUCUGCCUGGUAGUGGGGGAUAACGUCCGGGAAACGGGCGCUAAUACCGCAUACGUCCUGAGGGAGAAAGUGGGGGAUCUUCGGACCUCACGCUAUCAGAUGAGCCUAGGUCGGAUUAGCUAGUUGGUGGGGUAAAGGCCUACCAAGGCGACGAUCCGUAACUGGUCUGAGAGGAUGAUCAGUCACACUGGAACUGAGACACGGUCCAGACUCCUACGGGAGGCAGCAGUGGGGAAUAUUGGACAAUGGGCGAAAGCCUGAUCCAGCCAUGCCGCGUGUGUGAAGAAGGUCUUCGGAUUGUAAAGCACUUUAAGUUGGGAGGAAGGGCAGUAAGUUAAUACCUUGCUGUUUUGACGUUACCAACAGAAUAAGCACCGGCUAACUUCGUGCCAGCAGCCGCGGUAAUACGAAGGGUGCAAGCGUUAAUCGGAAUUACUGGGCGUAAAGCGCGCGUAGGUGGUUCAGCAAGUUGGAUGUGAAAUCCCCGGGCUCAACCUGGGAACUGCAUCCAAAACUACUGAGCUAGAGUACGGUAGAGGGUGGUGGAAUUUCCUGUGUAGCGGUGAAAUGCGUAGAUAUAGGAAGGAACACC
rnacentral:rRNA from 1 species